rnacentral:lncRNA from 1 species
UCACCCACUUAAAUGCUGGCAGUAACUGGACCUCCUGCUCAGCUGGGUGGGUGCAUUGACUAACAGAAGGGGAUUGUCUGGGCUCCUCCAGGAGCAGAGGGGAGAGGGGUCUAUCCAGGCUGCCUGCUUUGAGCAACUGCCUAACUCCUUCCUCAGUCCCUCGGCCCCACUCACCUCCAGACUGCAGUCUCCUUUUUCAUUUUAAAGACAAAACUUCCCAUCGACAAACAGCAUGUUUAUUUGCAGCUUUUACAGCUAGCAAAUCCUUUGGUACCAGGGAGCGCAGGACCCAGUGGGGGAAGAGUUCAGGCUUGGGCUGAAUGCCCAGGACUCAGCUUUGCAACCAGCCAAGAGCCUGGAGGCCCAACUCCCUGAAAGGGCCUUUUCUGGGUUGCUCUGAUCUGCCUGGUACCCAUAACUGUCUGUGUUUUAUAUUAUGGGCAGACAAACACUCAGAUGACGCAUGGCAGCCCAAGUUAUGCUUGUUUGAAAAUGCGUGGCAUUUCAUAAUCCUGCCGGAACACACUCUUCUUGCUGCAUUAGGAUCCAACUGGAAAACAUAAAGAUGAAUUGCUGUAGGCUGGAAAAUCAAUUAGGAAAAAGAGGUAAAACAUCUGGUGUUACUCUUAGAAUAUGAAAAUUCAUUUUGCACAUUUAAAAUAAAUGUGUUGAGUUGAUUUAAUUGCCUGUUGAACUGUUUCGUGGAAAAUACUGGGAAGUUGCAUUGAUCCUGGGCAUUUUGCAGUAAGGGGCAUUGUCUUGAGUUCUCCUUUAAUCUUAAUCUUUAAUCAAUCUGGAUUGUAUUUCUAAGGUCUUUUUCACGUGAGUUUCAGUAGACUUGGAACUUCAGUUUUCAAAGUCAAGUGUGUAUUAGAAUUACACGGAGGGCUGGUUAAAACACAGAUGGCUGGGCCUAACCCCACAGUUUCUGAUCCAGUAGGUCUGGGCUAGGGCUUAAGAAUUUGAAUUUGUAGCAAGGUUCUAAGUGAUGACAAGCUGCUGGUUGGGACCACACUUUGAGAACUACUGGCUUCGAAUAAGGGAGAGUCCUUGUCAGUGUACAGAGUAGGGAGGUGGUUUCCUAUGAAAAUAGAUUAAAUUCCACAGACUUAUGGUGCUAUGCCCUGCAGUCUUGACUUCCUUACACAACGGAGUACAUAGCUUCCAGAGAGCUUUCCUUCUAAGAUAAGCCACACAUAACUCCUAUCUUCUCUUCCCUACAUUCUUCUGCAAAAAUGGGUUUAAUGCCCUUCUAGAGAUUCAUUUCUUUCUUUCCUUUUUAAGGCUGGCAGUAACUGGACCUCCUGCUCAGCUGGGUGGGUGCAUUGACUAACAGAAGGGGAUUGUCUGGGCUCCUCCAGGAGCAGAGGGGAGAGGGGUCUAUCCAGGCUGCCUGCUUUGAGCAACUGCCUAACUCCUUCCUCAGUCCCUCGGCCCCACUCACCUCCAGACUGCAGUCUCCUUUUUCAUUUUAAAGACAAAACUUCCCAUCGACAAACAGCAUGUUUAUUUGCAGCUUUUACAGCUAGCAAAUCCUUUGGUACCAGGGAGCGCAGGACCCAGUGGGGGAAGAGUUCAGGCUUGGGCUGAAUGCCCAGGACUCAGCUUUGCAACCAGCCAAGAGCCUGGAGGCCCAACUCCCUGAAAGGGCCUUUUCUGGGUUGCUCUGAUCUGCCUGGUACCCAUAACUGUCUGUGUUUUAUAUUAUGGGCAGACAAACACUCAGAUGACGCAUGGCAGCCCAAGUUAUGCUUGUUUGAAAAUGCGUGGCAUUUCAUAAUCCUGCCGGAACACACUCUUCUUGCUGCAUUAGGAUCCAACUGGAAAACAUAAAGAUGAAUUGCUGUAGGCUGGAAAAUCAAUUAGGAAAAAGAGGUAAAACAUCUGGUGUUACUCUUAGAAUAUGAAAAUUCAUUUUGCACAUUUAAAAUAAAUGUGUUGAGUUGAUUUAAUUGCCUGUUGAACUGUUUCGUGGAAAAUACUGGGAAGUUGCAUUGAUCCUGGGCAUUUUGCAGUAAGGGGCAUUGUCUUGAGUUCUCCUUUAAUCUUAAUCUUUAAUCAAUCUGGAUUGUAUUUCUAAGGUCUUUUUCACGUGAGUUUCAGUAGACUUGGAACUUCAGUUUUCAAAGUCAAGUGUGUAUUAGAAUUACACGGAGGGCUGGUUAAAACACAGAUGGCUGGGCCUAACCCCACAGUUUCUGAUCCAGUAGGUCUGGGCUAGGGCUUAAGAAUUUGAAUUUGUAGCAAGGUUCUAAGUGAUGACAAGCUGCUGGUUGGGACCACACUUUGAGAACUACUGGCUUCGAAUAAGGGAGAGUCCUUGUCAGUGUACAGAGUAGGGAGGUGGUUUCCUAUGAAAAUAGAUUAAAUUCCACAGACUUAUGGUGCUAUGCCCUGCAGUCUUGACUUCCUUACACAACGGAGUACAUAGCUUCCAGAGAGCUUUCCUUCUAAGAUAAGCCACACAUAACUCCUAUCUUCUCUUCCCUACAUUCUUCUGCAAAAAUGGGUUUAAUGCCCUUCUAGAGAUUCAUUUCUUUCUUUCCUUUUUAAGAGACAGGGUCUUGCUCUGUCGCCCAGGCUGGAGUGCAGUGGUGCCAUCAUAGCUCACUGAAGCCUCAACCUCCUGGGCUCAAGCAAUCCUCCCACCUCAGUCUCCUGAGUAGGUGGGACUACAGGUGUGCCCAGCUAACUUUUAAAUUUUUUUUUGUAGAGACAAAGUCUUGCUAUUUUGCCCAGGAUGGUCUCGAACUCCAGGGCUCAAGCAGUCCUGUUAUAUCCUCCUCCGAAAGUGUUGGGAUUACAGGUAUGAGCCACCAGGCCCCAACCUAUUUCUGCCAUUCCUGAAUUCAGAAUGCAACAGCACUCUAAUUUAAUCAGCGUUGGCACCUACUUUGUGAACUCUGAUGAGGUGGGAAUACAAAAGCAAUAAAACACAGUCCUCCCCCUCCAGGAGCUCAUUCACAGCCUGGUGGCCCCCUGGCAGUUGCAAGAAGGCAUCCACCAAGACCACAAUUAUAGCAUGAUGUAAUGGAGGCAUUAGGCAAGGGCACGACAGGAGCCUAGGGCACAGGUACCUAUUUUUGCCCGGGAAGAUGGGGAAGGUGUCAUGGAGGAGGAAUCAUUUGAGCUAAAUCUUAAGCAGGAGUGGGUGAUGUGUAGGUGGAAAAAAUCUUGGGGGUGGGGUGGGGAGGGAGAUAAUUGGGCCAUUGGCACAUCGAGGAUACAUACAGCUUCUUUAUGUUACUGUAGGGCCUCGCCUCUGGGAAUAAAGCUGUCUUGGGUGAGAACUACUUUCUACUUUUAGUCCCUCUAGCGUAUAUUUCUUCAGUCAAGAAGAGUGGUAUUACCUAGCCAAGUAAAACACAGCCUCUCCUCUUCGCUCCCUGUUCACAAAACAAGGAGCAUCUAUCUGGCAGGCCAGGAGAGGGGGUUGGUGAUGAAGAUUUCAUUGUUUCCUCUGUGCCUUCCAGGGAUGUGAUUCAGACACAGGACUAGCUUUGUGAUCCCUGUGCUCCGGAGAAACCUCCACCCUGGCCUCAAGGAGGCUGUGAAACCAAAAGGGACCUUGGGUGCCAGCUUGCUGGGUCCUUACUUACUUGGUCCAUCUUCUGGCUGGAAGGAGCACCUGGGCUCUCAGAGUGCCCCCCGACUCUCAGCAGCUCCUUUUCUGGCCCAAGAGGUAAGAGUCUGGAGGACCCCAGUUCAGUUUCUUCCUGUUUAUUCUUUUAUCGUUGACUAUAAGAUUGUGAACCUAGCACAAUGCUAAGAGCUUGAGAUACAGCAGCUAAACAGACAGCCACUAUCCUUACCCUUUUGGAGUUUUUAGCAUAGUGGUGUGCCUAAACAAGUCAUAAUCAUGAUGAUGAUGAGAGGGUAUUACACAGGGCAUGACUACCAGAAGGUGGGCUCAUUGGAAGCCAUUUUAGAAGCAGCUGACCACAGUCUCUCUGGGGCGGGCACCAUUA